GGAAGGAUCAUUACAGUGGGUGGCCUCACGGCCCCUACCGAGAUAGCACCCUUGUCUUUGAAUACCACCCGUUUCCUCGGCAGGCUCGCCUGCCAAUGGGGACACAACAAAACCUUUUUGUAGUUGCAGUAAACGUCUCAAAUACAAAUAAUCAAAACUUUCAACAACGGAUCUCUUGGUUCUGGCAUCGAUGAAGAACGCAGCGAAAUGCGAUAAGUAGUGUGAAUUGCAGAAUUCAGUGAAUCAUCGAAUCUUUGAACGCACAUUGCGCCCUUUGGUAUUCCUUAGGGCAUGCCUGUUCGAGCGUCAUCUAAACCCUCAAGCAAUGCUUGGUGUUGGGCGUUUGUCCUCCUCUCGGUGGACAUGCCCUAAAUAUAUUGGCAGCCUGUGAGUUGGCUUCGAGCGCAGCAAAUCGUGUCUCGUCUCUCUCGCGCAGGCGUUCCAUUAAGAUGGGGCCCAGUGCCCCCCUCAGUUUGACCUCGGAUCAGGUAGGGAUACCCGCUGAACUUAAGCAUAUCAAUAAGCGGAGGAAAAGAAACCAACAGGGAUUGCCCUAGUAACGGCGAGUGAAGCGGCAACAGCUCAAAUUUGAAAUCUGGCUCCCUUGGGUGCCCGAGUUGUAAUUUGCAGAGGGUGCUUUGGCGAUGGCUGUGGUCUAAGUUCCUUGGAACAGGGCGUCAUAGAGGGUGAGAACCCCGUACGAGACCGCUGGCUUGAGCCGUGUAAAGCCCCUUCGACGAGUCGAGUUGUUUGGGAAUGCAGCUCUAAAUGGGAGGUAAAUUCCUUCUAAAGCUAAAUACUGGCCAGAGACCGAUAGCGCACAAGUAGAGUGAUCGAAAGAUGAAAAGCACUUUGGAAAGAGAGUCAAAAAGCACGUGAAAUUGUUGAAAGGGAAGCGCUUGCAGCCAGACUUGCCCGCAGUUGGUUUCCUUCUGUGGGCAGGCCAGCAUCAGUCUGGGCGGUCGGAUAAAGGCCUCAGGAAUGUAUCACUCUUCGGGGUGUGUUAUAGCCUGGGGUGUCAUGCGACCAGCCUGGACUGAGGUCCGCGCAUCUGCUAGGAUGCUGGCGUAAUGGCUGUAAGCGGCCCGUCUUGAAACACGGACCAAGGAGUCUAACAUCUAUGCGAGUGUUUGGGUGGAAAACCCGGGCGCGCAAUGAAAGUGAACGGAGGUGGGAACCCGCAAGGGCGCACCAUCGACCGAUCCUGAUGUCUUCGGAUGGAUUUGAGUAAGAGCAUAUAUGUUGGGACCCGAAAGAUGGUGAACUAUGCCUGAAUAGGGUGAAGCCAGAGGAAACUCUGGUGGAGGCUCGCAGCGGUUCUGACGUGCAAAUCGAUCGUCAAAUUUGGGCAUAGGGGCGAAAGACUAAUCGAACUAUCUAGUAGCUGGUUCCUGC
rnacentral:misc_RNA from 1 species